rnacentral:rRNA from 1 species
UACGGAGGAUGCGAGCGUUAUCCGGAUUUACUGGGUUUAAAGGGUGCGCAGGCGGUUGUUUAAGUCAGGGGUGAAAGCCCUAUGCUCAACAUAGGGAUUGCCUUUGAUACUGAACGGCUAGAGUGAAGAUGGAGUGGGUGGAAUGUGUUGUGUAGCGGUGAAAUGCAUAGAUAUAACACAGAACACCGAUGGCGAAGGCAGCCCCCUGGGCCUGUACUGACGCUCAUGCACGAAAGCGUGGGGAGCAAACAGG